rnacentral:rRNA from 1 species
GACGAACGCUGGUGGCGUGCUUAACACAUGCCAGUCGAACGGAAAGGCCUCUUUCGGGGGGUACUCGAGUGGCGAACGGGUGAGUAACACGUGAGUAACCUGCCCUUGACUUUGGGAUAACUUCAGGAAACUGGGGCUAAUACCGGAUAGGAGCUCCUGCUGCAUGGUGGGGGUUGGAAAGUUUCGGCGGUUGGGGAUGGACUCGCGGCUUAUCAGCUUGUUGGUGGGGUAGUGGCUUACCAAGGCUUUGGCGGGUAGCCGGCCUGAGAGGGUGACCGGCCACAUUGGGACUGAGAUACGGCCCAGACUCCUACGGGAGGCAGCAGUGGGGAAUAUUGCACAAUGGGUGGAAGCCUGAUGCAGCAACGCCGUGUGCGGGAUGACGGCCUUCGGGUUGUAAACCGCUUUCGCUCAUGACGAAGCUUUGUGUGACGGUAGUGGGUAAAGAAGCACCGGCUAACUACGUG